GACUGGUCUGAAGGCAGUGAGUCAACUCAAUUGAUUAUUCACAGUCAGUUACGCAUCCAAUGCCUUAUUCUACUCUUCCCCUCUCUUCCCCUCUUCUCACUACUGCAUUUGACUAGUAUCUU
ensembl:misc_RNA Y_RNA Y RNA